UUCCAUUCUCUCUCCCUCUCCUAUCUCAACCUCUCGUGGGGUUUAUAUAUAUUAAACACACUAAAGUGACUUCAUACCAGAAUUCUUUCUCUUUGUAUACGGCUAAGUCACGCGUCAUUACCUUAAUGUGUGACACCAUCAAAAAAUUGUUUCUUGUUUCCUUCUGCUGUCAAUUUCCAAACUAAUUCACUCUUUAAACUUGACAGGUAAACACACAAUUAGUGC
rnacentral:lncRNA from 1 species